rnacentral:rRNA from 1 species
UACGAAGGGUGCAAGCGUUACUCGGAAUUACUGGGCGUAAAGCGUGCGUAGGUGGUUUUUUAAGUCCGCUGUGAAAGCCCUGGGCUCAACCUGGGAAUGGCAGUGGAUACUGGAAAGCUAGAGUGCGGUAGAGGGUAGUGGAAUUCCCGGUGUAGCAGUGAAAUGCGUAGAGAUCGGGAGGAACACCAGUGGCGAAGGCGGCUACCUGGACCAGCACUGACACUGAGGCACGAAAGCGUGGGGAGCAAACAGG